GUUUUCAGUUGUUCGGGAAGCCUCCGCUUACACCGACUUCAACCUUCGACUGCACCUCUUUCUUCGGGAAUCAUCUGUUUACAGCGACUGCUCAUUAUCUCCUCUAAUCUCAGUUGGUUCUGAACUGAGGAAGAGGAAGCUGCUGUUCUGUGUGUUACCAGAUUAAAGGCCAAAUAAAGGAGGUCUUUGUGGUGCUACACUGUCAAAUUAGUCCAGAGUCAACAAAUGCCUUGGUUAUAUCUAAGCAGACCAUUCUACUUCGUGUAGAGGUAGUGAGUAGCUGCUCAUGUCUUUCUAUAACAACAAGGCAAACCGCUAAUUUUCAAGCCAACAUCCAUCAAACGGUUCUCAUUAUUGUUUUUCAUCUAUUGCUUUAUUAGACGAUACAUACCAAGUUUGAUUUGAAGUUAUUAAUUCCACUGAGAAAUUCGUGUAACAUGUUUUAAUCAUCCUUUAAUGAAGGUGUACAACAGAAACAUUCUGCUAUGUAAUGUUAUCCCAGUAACGUCUAAUAGUAAUUCCCGCAGCAAAGCGCGGGCAAAUAUUACUAG